rnacentral:rRNA from 1 species
GAUGAACGCUGGCGGCGUGCCUAAUACAUGCAAGUCGAGCGAACAGACGAGGAGCUUGCUCCUCUGACGUUAGCGGCGGACGGGUGAGUAACACGUGGAUAACCUACCUAUAAGACUGGGAUAACUUCGGGAAACCGGAGCUAAUACCGGAUAAUAUAUUGAACCGCAUGGUUCACUAGUGAAAGACGGUUUUGCUGUCACUUAUAGAUGGAUCCGCGCCGCAUUCGCUAGUUGGUAAGGUAACGGCUUACCAAGGCGACGAUGCGUAGCCGACCUGAGAGGGUGAGCGGCCACACUGGUACUGAGGCACGGUCCAGACUCCUACGGGAGGCAGCAGUAGGGAACCUUCCGCGAUGGGCGAAAGCCUGACGGAGCAACGACGCGUGAGUGAUGAAGGCCGUCGGAUCGUAAAACUCUGUUAUUAGGGAGGAACGAAUGUGUAAGUAACUAUGCACGUCUUGACGGUACCUAAGCAGAAAGCCACGGCUAACUACGUG